GCCCUAGAUGUAGUGUUGGAGUCAUAUUUUGAUGGAAAAUUAUACAAAAACAACAUAUGGGUUGGCAUCAUUGAAGGUCUUCCUGUUUACUUUAUUGAGCCUCUUCACCCUGGCAAGUUCUUUUGGAGAGGGCAUUUUUAUGGAGAACAUGAUGAUUUCAAACGUUUUUCAUUUUUCAGCCGUGCUGCACUUGAAUUUCUUCUUCAAGC
rnacentral:misc_RNA from 1 species